AACAGAGGAUGCAAGCGUUAUCCGGAAUUAUUGGGCGUAAAGUGUCUGUAGGUGGCUUUUCAAGUCCGUCGUCAAAUCCCAGGGCUCAACCCUGGACAGGCGGUGGAAACUAUCAAGCUAGAGUACGGUAGAGGCAGAGGGAAUUUCCGGUGGAGCGGUGAAAUGCGUUGAGAUCGGGAGGAACACCAAGGGCGAAAGCACUCUGCUGGGCCGUUACUGACACUCAGAGACGAAAGCUAGGGGAGCAAAUGGGAUUAGAAACCCCAGUAGUCC
rnacentral:rRNA from 1 species